GAUUUCUGGUUCGGCGCACUUGGCCCGUCUCGGUUUACGAGAUUGUGUGCCGGUGUGCGCCAUCCAUCCUUCGAUGAAUUUCUGGACUUCCCUUCAUUGGGCGGUUCAGAGGGAUUCUCGAUCUUUUACUUUGAAAAAAUUAGAGUGUUUAAAGCAGGCUUGCGCUAUGAAUACAUUAGCAUGGAAUAAUAAUUUAGGACUUUGGUCUUAUUUUGUUGGUUUCUAGGACUAAAGUAAUGAUUGAUAGGGACAGUUGGGGGUGCUAGUAUUCAGCGGCCAGAGGUGAAAUUCUUGGAUUCGCUGAAGACUAACUUAUGCGAAAGCAUU
rnacentral:rRNA from 1 species